rnacentral:rRNA from 1 species
UGAGGAAUAUUGGUCAAUGGCCGGGAGGCUGAACCAGCCAAGCCGCGUGAAGGAAGACGGCCCUACGGGUUGUAAACUUCUUUGUCGGGGAACAAAAGGGAGGACGUGUCCUCCUCUGCGGGUACCCGAAGAAAAAUGCAUCGGCUAACUCCGUGCCAGCAGCCGCGGUAAUACGGAGGAUGCGAGCGUUAUCCGGAUUUAUUGGGUUUAAAGGGUGCGUAGGCGGUCUGUUAAGUCAGCGGUAAAAGACCGGGGCUCAACCCCGGCAAGCCGUUGAAACUGGCGGACUAGAGACGGAGAGAAGUAAGCGGAAUGCGCAGUGUAGCGGUGAAAUGCAUAGAUAUUGCGCAGAACUCCGAUUGCGAAGGCAGCGUACUGGCGCCUGACUGACGCUGAGGCACGAAAGCGUGGGGAUCGAACAGGAUUAGAUACC